AACUAUUUUUGCAGCAAAAUAAAAACAGGCCUAUUUUGAUAGAUUGCCCCUGAUUGCUGCAGCUUCCAGCUGAAGGCCCAGACGCAAUUCACAACAACACAACAAAAUCUCAUUCCCAUAAGCCUCACCCUUGUUGCUGAGGCAACGGGGCAACCUUGGAAAAUGAAAUAAAGCGCCCUGACCACUGCGGAGAGCACAGACCCACACCUCUUCACACAUGAUGGAGCACGAGCUGCAGAUCAUCGAGAGGAGGCUGGGGGAAAGGAUAGAGCUUUAGUUGUGUGGGUUUGGAAAAUAGGCUUAUUGUCAAAAAAGCUUGGGCCAGGAUAUUUUAAAUUGGCAAACAGCACAUGGGGACUGUCAGGAAUUUGAUGAAAGAAACCUUCAUAUUUUUUCAAGAAAAAUUAGUUUGUGGUGAGAUAUUUGAUGCGGUGUGUUUGAUUGAUGAAAUUAUCUAAUAUUCUAUUUUUUUAUUUCUGAGAAACAUUAACCGUGACACCAUAUUUUUUACAAUAAAUUAUUUCCAAAG
ensembl:lncRNA